CACGGAAUCUUCCGCAAUGGACGCAAGUAGUCCGGAGCAACGCCGCGUGAGUGAUGAAGGUUUGUAAAGCUCUGUUGCCAGGGAAGAACGUCGCGGAGAGUAACUGCUCUGUGAAUGACGGUACCUGAGAAGAAAGCCCCGGCUAACUACGUGCCAGCAGCCGCGGUAAUACGUAGGGGGCAAGCGUUGUCCGGAAUUACCGGGCGUAAAGCGCGCGCAGGCGGUUGUUUAAGUCUGGUGUUUAAGCCCGGGGCUCAACCCCGGUUCGCACUGGAAACUGGGCGGCUUGAGUGCAGGAGAGGAAAGCGGAAUUCCACAAAUAGCGGUGAAAUGAUGCGAUAUGUGGAGGAACACCAGUGGCGAAGGCGGCUUUCUGGCCUGUAACUGACGCUGAGGCGCGAAAGCG
rnacentral:rRNA from 1 species